rnacentral:rRNA from 1 species
UACGAAGGGGGCUAGCGUUGUUCGGAAUUACUGGGCGUAAAGCGUGCGCAGGCUGUCUUGCAAGUCAGGGGUGAAAUCCCAGGGCUCAACCCUGGAAUGGCCCUUGAGACUGCGAGACUAGGGUGCGGGAGAGGUGAGUGGAAUUCCCAGUGUAGAGGUGAAAUUCGUAGAUAUUGGGAAGAACACCCGUGGCGAAGGCGGCUCACUGGCCCGUAACCGACGCUCAUGCACGACAGCGUGGGGAGCAAACAGG